ACUGUCUUAAAAACAUAAGCACAAACUAUUGAUGAACUGAUGCGUGGUUUUAAAGCAGCGUUCUACUGAAUGUUUAUGCUUGAAUGUGUUAUUAUUUAAUGUAGGAAUUGAUAACUACACUGUAAGAUGUGUAUACCACCAAAGAGCGGGUCACCAACAAAACCUUAACAGUGAAUUUGCAAAUUCACAACUUUAAUGUCAAUCAGAAUUGACAAACAAGAUAUAAAUGACACGGGAUGUGUGUUGCUAUAGUAACCCGUGGGGGAUGAUGUGUGCUGCUAUAGUAACCCGUGGGGGAAGUGAACACCCAGACAGUGGACAUCUUUGAAAACAAAACCAGGAAGCUACUUCAUCAUUACCCAGAAGGGAUUUGAUGUUGAGAUUAAAAACGGCUGCAUUGGCCCUUUAAUGUAAGACACAUAAGGCUUCUUAUGUUUUUUUUUAAUCCAACAUAACUACCUUACCGUGAAUGAUUUAUAUUAAAAUAGUCAACAAUAAUAAUAAUAAUAACUUUGACUACAUACACCCUUCUACACCCUGCUAGCUGACCACCCAUUUUCAUUGUAAUUCAUGUAAAUGAGCUCUGAUCAGCCUAUAAACAUGACAUUAUCUAUUAUUAUACAGCUCUGCUCAGCCUGUAAACAUGACAUUAUCUAUUAUUAUAGAGCUCUGCUCAGCCUAUAAACAUGACAUCUAUUAUUAUAGAGCUCUGCUCAGCCUGUAAACAUGACAUUAUCUAUUAUUAUAGAGCUCUGUUCAGCCUAUAAACAUGACAUUAUCUAUUAUUAUAGAUUUCUGCUCAGCCUAUAAACAUGAUAUUAUCAAAUUGCGGAUAUUGCAAAUUUGCAUGAUAUUGCAAAUUAAUUACUUAAAAAUCAUACAAUGUGAUUUUUGGAUUUUUGUUUUAGAUUCCGUCUCUCACAGUUGAAGUGUACCUAUGAUAAAAAAUUACAGACCUCUACAUGCUUUGUAAGUAGGAAAACCUGCAAAAUCGGCAGUGUAUCAAAUACUUGUUCUCCCCACUGUAUAUAUACAUACAUAUACACACAUACACAUACCUAUAUAUACAUACAUAUACACAUAUAUGCAUACACAUACCUAUAUAGACAUACAUACUUUUUUUUAGAAUAUACCUUUAUUACUCCACAAAUCCUACCACCCUUCCCCCAAUUGGAGUAAACUAAUAAACACUUAGGCUUCUACCUUCAGUUUAUACAUCUUACACACAUUUUACAGACACAGUCUACUUUACAAUAGUUCUCUCUUGUUUGUUCUUGGUCCUUCCUCUAUUUCUGAUUUCCAUCCAGUUUGAUUUCUAUUUGUAACUGUGUUAUUUCACAAAAGUUCUGAACCUAUAUACAUUUUACAGACCCCGUGUGUUUUACAUUGGUUAUCUUGUUAUUAGUCCCACCCUUCAGCUCCAUUCAACCCCUCCCAUCUAUCUAUCAACAUAAUCCAUUUUGGUUUUCUAUUUGCCAUAUAUUAUUUAACUGUGCUGUGAUGCUUCACAAAAUAAUUGAACCUUUCUAUUCUCAUAGCUUCUACAGAUUGUACAUUUAAAAAAAAACGUUUUUGCUAAAAUAAUUAUUAUAUUAUUGAUUGAUUGACUAUGGCUUUUCAAAUCACCCAGUAUUGCUAUCUGUAGCGUUAGUUCUAGGCAAAUGUUGCAAUUCUUCAGCCAUUCCUGGACCUGUGACCAAAAACGAGCUACAUAUGGACAAUACCAAAAUAAAUGAUCUAAUGACUCUGCCUCCUCACAGCAGAAUCUGUAGAGCUGGGAAGAUUGUAUCCCCCAUAUAUAUAACAUUCUAUUAGUUGCAAGAAUUUUGUAUAAUAGUUUAAAUUUAAAAAUGGAAUCGGUACAUCGAAAAUCUCUUCCCAACUAUUUUGCAAUUUAUAUGGCACAGCUGUCAGUUUUUUGGUCCUUAAAUUAAAUUGGUAUAUGUUUUUAUUUAUCACACUUUUCUUUAACCAUUUAUGUUCUUGAAUGCAGGGCCGACCUACAUGUUCCUUACUUUCUUCCCCUUCUACUUGCCUCUUCCAUUUUUGUGGUAAUGCUGCAAAUAAUUGGUUGUAAUUUUGGGUAGAGCAGACAUUUCCGUAUGUCUGUGUUAGCUGCAUGUGCGAUAUAACUCCACCAGUCCUAUUUAUGAUAUCAUUCACAAAAAUUAUACUUUAUUUUUUAUUUUUUAUUUCUUCGAAAAUACGUUUUUUAAAAUCAAUUAGUAUAUUUGAGUUUACCAAAAUAUUUGUUGUAUUAUUGGUUCUGGGUUUUCAGGUGGAUUAAACUGAAAUUAAAAUUGCAGUGAGUGUGUGUUUUUGUUUGGGCUGUCAGACUUGAGUUUAGUUUUUGUAAUGUUAGUGCACAAGAAAAACAUUUUGGGGUGAUUAAUCCAUUUUCUGAAGGGCUAAAAACACACUGAAAACAUGCAAAAUGCAUCCUGUAUACCGCUACAAUCUACAAAGCCAUGUAGAAACAAGAUGACAUGGAGGUUAAAUAAAGUCUGCUUUAUUAAUUAAACAUAUUUUGACACGUCAUUGGGGUUAAAUAAAGUCUGCUUAUCAAUGGAACAUAUUUUGACACGUCAUGGAGGUUAAAUAAUGUCUGCUUAUCAAUGUAACAUAUUGUGACCCGUCCACGGUGGGGCGCUGUAGAGUCAUAAUAUCCACAACAACAACAGUUCAAACAGGGAAAUGGUUCACAUCGUUUUUCCACCAUUCAUUUUCCCCACAGGGCUGUGUUUUGUUUAGGCUUACCCCGGUGUGGCGUUUUGAUAACCAUGUAAAUCUCUCUAGGACAAGGUGACUGAGGGUGAAUGUACACUAGAUAAAUAGCGGUAAACUGCUGUGUGCCGCUCUGGCUGCCCGUUGUGACUCCGUCAAAAAUUCAGCAGAGCAAGUUUGUAUGAAGGUCUGGUUAUUAAAUGGGUACAUAGUUCAAUAGUAAUAUCCUCUAAAACGCUCUGGUGACAAACUUUGUUGCCCUGUUUCCAAUUGCCACAUGGCUGGGAGGACCUAUUCAAGUAAGUAAAUAGAUUUUGAAAAUGUAAAAAAAAAAAAAAUAUGUAUAAUUAGCUAACUAGCUACAGUGCAGGCUAACUAAUGAGCUGCUAAAUGAGCUAGCUAGUUGGCUAGCUAGCUAUCUAACCAACUUCACAUUCUGUAUAGAUAGAUAGCUCGCUAUCUAGCCAACUUCAAAUACUGUAUAGAUAGAUAACUAAGUGAAUGAAAUAUCACCAGCUGACUUACCUAAAGUCAUAUUAGCUAGCUGUCUUAAUGUAUUUAUCACUGUAAAAAACAAACUCCAAAUGCAUUUGUAGGUAGCUAGCUAGCUAACAGCCAUGGAAAGGAUAGCAGCCCCAACUGCAGCCCAACGGCUAUUCUGGAUAGGGGAGGUACUUUUGUGUAGUUCCUGUCCCUACAAGUGAGGACGGAGAUAAUAGUAACAUAAUAUUCAGUGUGGUGUAAUUUGACUAUAAUGAAGUGUGUUUCUUGUGAGGUUUUCUGUCCUCAGAUAAAGAGCGCUAUGAAAGCCAGUCAACAUAUGAAGAGGUCCCAAUGAAGAGCAGUGGUUCUCAGUCCUGGGGACUCAAAGAGGCACAUUGUUGUUUUUGCCUCAGCACUGCACAGCUGAUUCAAAUGAUCAACUCAUCAUCAAGCUUCAAGUGAUACCUUGUAACUGAAGAUUCCUUCAAAACGAUUGCCUACAGUUACCGUGUAGGGCACUGCAAGGUUGGGUGACCAGGGUCAUCUGGGACUGCCUCCUGGAGGAAUUCAGGUGUGUGAAGGCUACCUGUGUCCUGCGUAACUUCAUGAGGAUGGACACGAGGACCAGGAGGGGAUCUGCAGCUCGCCGCCGUGUCCCAGAGGAGGAGUCUGCUGCUCUGCAGGAUGUUUCAAGGACGGGGUCCAACAACGUAGCAAGAGAGGCAAUCCGUGUGCAGGAGAUCUUCACCUCCUACUUCUUCAAAGAGGGUGCUGUUCCCUGGCAACACCAUAGACUACACUAUGCACAACCAAAGGCUCUUUUAAGAGCCAUUCACAUUGCAAUAAGAGUAUUCUUCCAUUUACUUAGCUAUGUCAACUGCAGUUAUUCAAUUCCCAGUUUCUCUCCCUUUGAUUUCUACUUCUCAGGUGAGGGUGCUGUUUAGGUAAGGGUGUGAUGUCUGUGCAAAAACAAAACAGGCUAUUUUAAAUCACUAAUAUUGAAAAAAUGUAGAACAAUUAGACACCCUAUAACCCACACCUACACACUCAUGUAUCAAUCUGAUUGAUGGAUUGUAUUGUGCAGUAAGCAGGCUCAGGUGUAUAACUGUUGCUUCGUCCACCUUCAAAGAAUAGGCAAGAGGGCCAACCAUGGAGAAUAUUAAGACACUUCAUUAUUUCUAUAACUACACUAUAUUGUUUGUCCUCAUGUGUCCAUUCAUGUUUUUCAGCAUAAAGUACUCUGCAGCCACUUAGUGUGGUGUGGACACCAGGUGAGGCCACAAACAGAUUCCUGUUGAACACUGUCGCUUUAACUACCUUAUUUUCUCAAUAACAGUCUCUCUCCUUCACUUCAUCCCUCUCUCCCCUUCUCCCUAAAUCCUCUAGGUUAUAUCAGCUGUGUCGGUGAACCCCUCCUGCAUCUGAACUAGCUACAUAGAGGGCACAGCAUGUUCAUAGGUGUGAGGUCACUUGGUCAGGUCAACAGGAAGUAUUAUUAAAGAUAUGCUUUACAUUGAAAUACAUUGAAAUACAGACAGAGAUGCAGUAGUCCCAGAGUUAAUGAUCCACGGUCAGUUUAUAUUAUACAGGAAGUAUUAUUAAAGAGAUGCUUUACAUUGAAAUACAGAUAGAUGCAGUAGUCCCAGAGUUAAUGAUCCAAGGUCAGUUUAUAUUAUACAGGAAGUAUUAUUAAAGAGAUGCUUUACAUUGAAAUACAGAGAUGCAGUAGUCCCAGAGUUAAUGAUCCAAGGUCAGUUUUGCAUUUUACUUCCUGAUUGAUGACUAACAAUGUUAGAAUAAAAAAUAAAAACACAAGGCUUAAACAUGCUCUCUCUCUCCAUCUGUCUCUCGUCUGCAGAUAUGUUUUGAUGUGAGAGGAUGCCAACCCCCAGUCCCAUCAUCACCACCUCACCCUCUUUUAAGAUAACCUUUAGACCGACAUGAGACACUAUUAUGUAAUUGUGAUGAACUGAGAGAAUAUUUCGGUAGCACUGUGAUUCAUUAAUCAUGUGCUGCCUUCCCUGCUCCUAUGUGUUUACCUUUUUCCCUUUCUGUCUUUACACCUCUCCCGCCACCUCCUCUUUCUUCCUAAUGCACAACAGAUGUGCAUUGAAGUACAGAUUGAACUUUUAUUUACAACACUUGGAUAAUGAGCUUUUCAAUAAAGCGUUUCACAUUC